AAAAAGAGGAGAAGUGGGAGUGAACAGAAAGAUAAUGCUUAUGGUACAUACAAAACAAAUGGAGAGAUUGAGUCUCAUGGAUUCUUCGCCUGAGCCACCAGCAAAGGACCAUGUUAACUGUCAUAAGUGAAAAUAAGAAGAAGAGGAAAGGAGAAAAUGGGAAAAAAUAUUUUCAUCACCCCAGAGAGAAACUCUGUGUCCAUUAGCAGGUGAUGCCAUGCUGCUAUGAAUGGGCAGAAAAAGCCUGACUGAACUAGUGACUUUUCACUGAAGACAUGAAUGUGGAGUGUGCAUCAGGAGCCAUCCAAGUCAAAAUCUAGGAAAAGAAAAUUCCAUGGAGAGAAAGGAGCUUUUGCAAAGGUUCCAUGGAGGGAGAAGUCUUGGUUAUCUGAGAAAAAGUGAUAUGGAAUAGCAGCCCAUCUUCUUCCCUGAAACACAGGGGUUCUACA
rnacentral:sRNA from 1 species